GGACCCGCACAAGCGGUGGAGCAUGUGGUUUAAUUCGAUGCAACGCGAAAAACCUUACCUACUCUUGACAUACUUGGAAGCUCUUGUAAUGAGAGUGUGCCUUUUGGAACCAAGAUACAGGUGCUGCAUGGCUGUCGUCAGCUCGUGUCGUGAGAUGUUCCGUUAAGUCGGAUAACGAGCGCAACCCUUACCCUUAUUUGCCAGCGAUUCGGUCGGGAACUAUAAGGGGACUGCCGGUGAUAAACCGGAGGAAGGUGAGGACGACGUCAAGUCAUCAUGGCCCUUACGAGUAGGGCUACACACGUGCUACAAUGGGAAGUACAGAGGGACGCCAAAGCGCGAGCUGGAGCU
rnacentral:rRNA from 1 species